rnacentral:rRNA from 1 species
CACUGUCACUCCUACGGGAGGCAGCAUGGGGGAAUAUUGCACAAUGGGCGCAAGCCUGAUGCAGCCAUGCCGCGUGUGUGAAGAAGGCCUUCGGGUUGUAAAGCACUUUCAGUCGUGAGGAAGGUGGUAGUGUUAAUAGCACUAUCAUUUGACGUUAGCGACAGAAGAAGCACCGGCUAACUCCGUGCCAGCAGCCGCGGUAAUACGGAGGGUGCGAGCGUUAAUCGGAAUUACUGGGACGUAAAGCGCAUGCAGGUGGUUUGUUAAGUCAGAUGUGAAAGCCCCGGGGCUCAACCUCGGAAUAGCAUUUGAAACUGGCAGACUAGAGUACUGUAGAGGGGGUAGAAUUUCAGGUGUAGCGGUGAAAUGCGUAGAGAUCUGAAGGAAUACCGGUGGCGAAGGCGGCCCCCUGGACAGAUACUGACACUCAGAUGCGAAAGCGUGGGGAGCAAACAGGAUUAGAUACCCUGGUAG